AAUAGCGGCGACAGCAUGUUGAAUGCACCAGUUCCCCACGGAUCACUGAAGUUAAGUAACGUUGCGCGUGGUUAGUAUCUGGAUGGGUGACCAUCUGGGGAAUCGCGUGCUGCUGGGU
rnacentral:rRNA from 1 species